UCUGUAAUUGACUGAACUAAAAGAGAUUGGGUGAAUUUUACUCAAAAACAAGGUAAAUAUUCAAAACUUUUCAUCUUUCAACCCAUCUAGCCACCCAAUCUAAGAAUCCGCAUGCCAAAAGACCAUUCCUGCCUUUCUUUUUCCAAUAGUUACAGGCAAUCAAAACUUGAAUGAAAACAAAAAGAAACAACCAAAUUCUGAAUUUGUGACAGAAGAGUUUAAGUGGAAGUCUCACACAUUACACUUAGCAAAAUCAGAAGAAUUACUGAAAUCCCCGACUGGCGUAAGUUAAUUUGCAUAAAAAACUGUACUUUAGGACAUCUUCCUGAUAUUUGAGAGUUUACCCCUAAAUCAUCUUCAUCUCUCUUCUUAAGUACUUCAUUCUCAGAGGUAGGCCCCAAUUCUUUUAUAUACAACAUCAAAGCUAAGAGGGUUAACUGUAGUUACAAAGUGCCCAGAAGUUACUGUGACAGCUAGGUACAUUAUUUAUAGUGAGAAAUUAAAUAUGCAGGACGAUCCAUCUGGUCAGAUUAUUUCUGAAGGUUUAAUAUCAGAUCUGACUGAGCAAUGGCCACCAUACCAGAUUAGCGAGCUGUAUAGAUGUCUACAUCAAGGAGUGGGAAGUCCUAGAACCAGAUACCACCUUCUUGAAAAGGGUGUGUGACAAACAGUAAUAAAUAGGAAAAGAAAAAAAUGAGGGGAGCAAAUAUGUAACAUUGAGAUGUUAAAUUAAACAGCCCUCAACACUGAACUGAGACCGACUAAUUAAACACAUUAAUUCAGGCAUACAUUUUUCUCAGGAGAAAUUAUGGUAGUUUCUGAUGUUUCUUCAUGUAGUAGCGUGAAUUUGCAAGUAAUGGAAAGUGAAUCUCUGAAGAUCCUACCAAAAUCAAUAACAUUGAAAGCAAAUAGUUUUCCUUCCUUGUCCUCAUAUGCUUCAGGACCAAUCAGAUAUCCAGUUCAGGCAGCUGAAGCAAGAGAAUUUGGGGAAUGGAAGAAAUGCAUAAUUGGUUCCCUAUUUGUAAAUACACUACUGCUGUUUCACUGAGGAAUCCCUGCUCUUGGAAUAGCUCUGGAAGGCAGGAGGUGUUUGGCAAGAUGCUUUUCCAUGGCUGCAGUCAGGUGAGGAAUAUCAGCAUACGGUGAGCCUUUGGGAAGCCCAGAGGAUGCAAAGAAAGAAUGACUGGUGUAUCUUUCUGGGACUGGUGGGAUAUCCAUCUUACCAUAGACUCAGGCAGGUAUAAAGACUAGAUGUGCAUCAGCUAGGUGAGUUUUUAUAGGUAAGUGCAGUCAGUAUCUAUCAUGGGCAUUCAUUUUCCUCUACAUGGAAGGAAAAUGUCUUCAGAACUCCUGGACAGAAUAUCUGGAGUUACCAAUUCCUUGGUAGUAUUCUGUCUUGAUAGAAAGUUGACUAAGCACAUUAUUUUCUAAGUUCUCAAAGAGAGCAGUGCUGCAGGUCUGGUGGCCCUCAGCACCUGACUAACUGAGCCUGUGAACAGAUCAGAGGUGGUACUGGGUCUGACCAAGGCCAGCAGCACCUGGAGGGAUGGCCAAUACACAGAUGCUCCUGGGAGACUGUAGCAGCAGAUCAAACACAAAGUGGUAUUUCCUUCAGUAAUUCCCUGUUCUUGAUGCUUUGUGCCUCAGGGAUUCCCUGCAUGAGAGUUAUCUUCUUUUAAUUUAAUGUAUUUGCCAAUCAGGUUUUGCACCCAU